rnacentral:misc_RNA from 1 species
AACGCACAUUGCGCUCCCUGGUAUUCCGGGGAGCAUGCCUGUUCGAGCGUCAUUACACCACUCAAGCACUGCUUGGUAUUAGGCCAUCGUCCCCCGCAAGGUGGGCGUGCCCCAAACACCUCGGCGGAGCCUCACCGGCUCUGGGCGUAGUAGAAUUUCUCAACGUCUUAUAAGUACCGGUCUGACUCUUUUGCCGCUAAACACCAAACUUUUAAAGGUUGACCUCGGAUCAGGUAGGGAUACCCGCUGAACUUAA